UCGGUAAGCAGGUCUGCGCUGCUGUCGAAGGCUGGCAAGAUGGAGAGACCGCUUCGGCGCUGCCCGUUGACGCUGGUCCAAUGUGUCCUUUUGAGCCGUGGGAAGCCGGAUCUCAGAAGCGAGCAUCACGGAGGCGUCACUUGAAAUGAGGCAGUCUUUUAAUAUGGGCCAGUUUCAUUUCCGAUACGGCGGCUUUAUCGGCUCCCUCCGGCAGGUUCCACCGUGACGACGAAAUCAUGGAUGUAUCUCCCCCGGUGAUGAGAAGAUCAUUAUCAGCGCCGAGUCGCCGCCGAUAGCGGCGCGGCAUGUGCAUUGGAGGAGAGGCACGUAGUGCGGGCGAUAACGGAUGGCGCAGGUUGUGUGCGCACUCGCUUAUCUGAGGUUGUAGGCUUCAUCUUAGGUUGUGCAGGCUGAAAUAUAGCAAGAUGAGUCAACAACGUAACUGAGGUACGUAUGCCGUUCACGAAAAAAAAAAAAGAGUGAACGCAGUUGCCCAAUAUAAGAAAGCCCAACAAUAAAAACAAAUUUGUAAGCGAU